AGUGAACGCUGGCGGCAGGCCUAACACAUGCAAGUCGAGCGGCAGCGGGUCCUUCGGGCUGCCGGCGAGCGGCGGACGGGUGAGGAAUACAUCGGAAUCUGCCCUGUCGUGGGGGAUAACCUAGGGAAACUUAGGCUAAUACCGCAUACGACCUACGGGUGAAAGCGGGGGAUCGCAAGACCUCGCGCGACAGGAUGAGCCGAUGUCCGAUUAGCUAGUUGGCGGGGUAAAGGCCCACCAAGGCGACGAUCGGUAGCUGGUCUGAGAGGAUGAUCAGCCACACUGGGACUGAGACACGGCCCAGACUCCUACGGGAGGCAGCAGUGGGGAAUAUUGGACAAUGGGCGCAAGCCUGAUCCAGCCAUGCCGCGUGGGUGAAGAAGACCUUCGGGUUGUAAAGCCCUUUUGUCCGGGAAGAAAUCGUCUGGGCUAAUACCCCGGGCGGAUGACGGUACCGGAAGAAUAAGCACCGGCUAACUUCGUG
rnacentral:rRNA from 1 species